CCUGGUUGAUCCUACCAGUAGUUAUAUGCUUGUCUCAAAGAUUAAGCCAUGCAUGUGUAAGUAUGAACUAAUUCAAAUUGUAAAACUGUGAAUGGCUCUUUAAAUCAGUUAUAGUUUGUUUAAUGGUGUCUAUUACUUGGAUAACCAUAGUAAUUCUAGAGCUAAUACGUGUAACAAACCCUAACUUCUAGAAGGGAUGCAUUCAUUUGAUAAAAGAUUGAUACGAGCUUUGCCCAUUACUUUGAUGAUUCACGAUAACUUGAUAGAUUACACAGCCUUUAUGUUGAUGACGCAUCAUUCAAAUUUUUACCUUGUAACUUUUGAUGGUAGUGGUGGUAGGUGAUGGAGAAUUAGGGUUCGAUUUCAAAGAAGGAGCCUGAUAAACAACUAGCACAUCCAAGGAAAGCAACAGGCACGCAAAUUACCCAAUCCUACCAACAGAGGUAGUGAAAAUGAAUAACAAUACCAGGCUCUAUGAGUUUGAUAAUUGGAAUAAGUACAUUUUAAAUCCCUUAAUGAGGAUCCAUGGGAGGGCAAGUCUAGUGUUAGCAAAGUAGCUAUGGUAAUUCCAGCACUAAUAGUGAAUAUUUAAAUUGUUGCAAUUAAAAAGCUCAUAGUUAAAACUAGGAUUGGGUUGUUUGGUUUGCUUCAUAGUAAGCAUUGAUCUACUUGUCCUUAUUACCGACAAUGUGCUCCUGGCCUUAACUAGCCAGGUCAUUCCUUUGGCAUUGUUACUUUGAUGAAAUUAGAGUGCUCAAAGUAGGCUUAUAGUUAUAUACAUUAGCAUGGGAUAACAUCAUUGGAUUUUGUCCUACUAUCUUCGAGAUCAAAGUAAUGAUUAACAAGGAUAGUUAAGGGCAUUCGUAUUUUAUAUUCAGAGGUAAAAUUCUUGGAUUUGUGAAAGAUGAACAACUACAAAACUAGUUGCCAUGGAUAUUUUCAUUAACCUAGAAUGAAAGUUUUGGGCUUGAAGAUGAUCAGAUACUAUCCUAGUCUCAGCCAUAAAUGAUGCUAAGCAGGGAUCGACAGAUGUUACUUUUAGGACUCUAUUGGUACAUUAUGAGAAAUCAAAGUCAUUAAGUUUUUGGGGGAGUAUGGUUACAAGGCUAAAACUUAAAGGAAUUGAUAGAAGGGCACCACCAAGAGUGAAGCCUAUAGCUUAAUUUGACUCAACAUGGGAAAACUUACUUGGUCCAAACAUAGUAAGGAUUGAUAAACUGAAAGCUCUUUCUUGAUUCUAUGGGUGAUAAUGUGUGGCAUUCUUAGUCGGUGGAGUGAUUUGUCUAGUUAAUUCCACUAACAAAUGAAACCUCAGCCUGCUAACUUGCUACAAGAAGGUGAUCCUUCAUGGCUAGCUUUUUAGAGGGAUUACAACCACUUAGGCCAAGGUAGUUUGAGGUAAUAACAUGUCUGUGAUGCCUAUAGAUGUUUUGGGCCACACGUAAGCUACAAUGAUGUAUUUAAUAAGUCUAUAGCCUCAGUCGACAAGCCUAGGUAAUCUUUGAAAUUUCAUCACGAUGGGGAUAGAUCAUUGCAAUUGUUGGUCUUCAAUGAGGAAUUCAUAGUAAGCACAAGUCAUUAGCUCGCAUUGACUAUGUCCCUACCCUCUGUACACAAUGCUUGUUGCUCCAACCAAUUGAAUGAUCUAGUAAAGUGUUCGGAUCAUAAUAAUGUGGAUUGUUUGCAGCUCACAACAUUGUGAGAAGUCUAUUGAACCUUAUCAUUUAGAGAAAAGGGAAGUCGUAACAAGGUUUUUGUAGGGGAGCUUAUGAAG
rnacentral:rRNA from 1 species